rnacentral:rRNA from 1 species
CUAAGGUGGUGCAAGCAGCGAGGGAAAAAGGAAGGGGGCAAGCGUUGUUCGGAAUCAGAGUGCGUAAAACGCGAGCAGGCGGAUAAGAAAGGCAGAUGUGAAAUCUCGAAGCUCAAGUGCGAAACUGCGUCUGAAACUGCUAGUCUAGAAUGUCGGAGGGGGCAGGGGAAUGUCACGGGUAGGGGUAAAAUCCGUAGAGAUGUGAAGGAACACCGGAGGCGAAGGCGCCUGCCUGGACGACUAUUGACGCUGAGGCGCGAAAGCGUGGGGAGCAAACAGGAUUAGAUACCCGAGUUAGUC